GAUGAACGCUGGCGGCGUGCCUAAUACAUGCAAGUCGAGCGAACGGACGAGAAGCUUGCUUCUCUGAUGUUAGCGGCGGACGGGUGAGUAACACGUGGAUAACCUACCUAUAAGACUGGGAUAACUUCGGGAAACCGGAGCUAAUACCGGAUAAUAUUUUGAACCGCAUGGUUCAAAAGUGAAAGACGGUCUUGCUGUCACUUAUAGAUGGAUCCGCGCUGCAUUAGCUAGUUGGUAAGGUAACGGCUUACCAAGGCAACGAUGCAUAGCCGACCUGAGAGGGUGAUCGGCCACACUGGAACUGAGACACGGUCCAGACUCCUACGGGAGGCAGCAGUAGGGAAUCUUCCGCAAUGGGCGAAAGCCUGACGGAGCAACGCCGCGUGAGUGAUGAAGGUCUUCGGAUCGUAAAACUCUGUUAUUAGGGAAGAACAUAUGUGUAAGUAACUGUGCACAUCUUGACGGUACCUAAUCAGAAAGCCACGGGCUACUACGUGCCAGCAGCCCGCGCCAAUACGUAGGUGGGCAGCGUUAUCCGGAAUUUAUGGGGCGUAAGCGCGCGUAGGCGGUUUUUUAAGUCUGAUGUGAAAGCCCACGGCUCAUCUGUGGAGGGUCAUUGGAAACUGGAAAACUUGAGUGCAGAAGAGGAAAGUGGAAUUCCAUGUGUAGCGGUGAAAUGCGCAGAGAUAUGGAGGAACACCAGUGGCGAAGGCGACUUUCUGGUCUGUAACUGACGCUGAUGUGCGAAAGCGUGGGGAUCAAACAGGAUUAGAUACCCUGGUAGUCCACGCCGUAAACGAUGAGUGCUAAGUGUUAGGGGGUUUCCGCCCCUUAGUGCUGCAGCUAACGCAUUAAGCACUCCGCCUGGGGAGUACGACCGCAAGGUUGAAACUCAAAGGAAUUGACGGGGACCCGCACAAGCGGUGGAGCAUGUGGUUUAAUUCGAAGCAACGCGAAGAACCUUACCAAAUCUUGACAUCCUUUGACAACUCUAGAGAUAGAGCCUUCCCCUUCGGGGGACAAAGUGACAGGUGGUGCAUGGUUGUCGUCAGCUCGUGUCGUGAGAUGUUGGGUUAAGUCCCGCAACGAGCGCAACCCUUAAGCUUAGUUGCCAUCAUUAAGUUGGGCACUCUAAGUUGACUGCCGGUGACAAACCGGAGGAAGGUGGGGAUGACGUCAAAUCAUCAUGCCCCUUAUGAUUUGGGCUACACACGUGCUACAAUGGACAAUACAAAGGGCAGCGAAACCGCGAGGUCAAGCAAAUCCCAUAAAGUUGUUCUCAGUUCGGAUUGUAGUCUGCAACUCGACUACAUGAAGCUGGAAUCGCUAGUAAUCGUAGAUCAGCAUGCUACGGUGAAUACGUUCCCGGGUCU
rnacentral:rRNA from 1 species